rnacentral:rRNA from 1 species
CAGUAGCCACGGGAAUACAGAGGGUGCGAGCGUUAAUCGGAUUUACUGGGCGUAAAGCGUGCGUAGGCGGCUUUUUAAGUCGGAUGUGAAAUCCCUGAGCUUAACUUAGGAAUUGCAUUCGAUACUGGGAAGCUAGAGUAUGGGAGAGGAUGGUAGAAUUCCAGGUGUAGCGGUGAAAUGCGUAGAGAUCUGGAGGAAUACCGAUGGCGAAGGCAGCCAUCUGGCCUAAUACUGACGCUGAGGUACGAAAGCAUGGGGAGCAACCAGGAUUAGAUACCCCGGUAGUCCCUGUCUCUUAUAC